CUUGAAUCAGUUCCAAAGAAAGUUCGUUUAGUCAAAUAAUUCACUAUUUCGAGUUUCAUUCAGAUCAACUGUGCUUACAUAUUUGGUGCUUCCAUCGUGGGGAUUUUGAAUUGAACGAAUAAAAAUAAAUAAUAAAUCAUUUCAAACAAGCUUUGGAUCUGUUCUCGAUAUUUGGAUUAAAGAUGAAACUUUGGUUUAUUUUGGCGGUAGUUCUCCUUACUCUCGAUUUUUCAUUCACCACGCCCACCUGUCCAUCGGGUAAAAUAGAAUAUUUGCGAUUUUACGGUGAUGGGGUUACAACGAUAAAACUAGACAGCCUAUCCAAGGAAAUCUACACAACAAAGGCGAAAUUCCAAUCUAUGCUUCUCUCUGUAUUUACGAAGGAUCUUAGAAUCACUAUUCACGCCCCAAGCUGUACAGUGGGCUCCGUGUUUGAUGAAUUUUCAGUUGAGGUCAAACAGUCGUCUUUUUUUGGCUUUCAUUUGUAGGUCAUUUUCACUUCAACGAAUACAAAGCAAUAAAUGUCACAUUUAAGUGUAGAAUGUAACUAAUAAAGAUUUUAAGCACAUCAUUUCAAGUUAUUACAAUAUUUUGCUGCAUACAAGCAGCAGGUAAAGUAAUUCAAAUAAAUUUUCGUCGUCUCUUCAUUGAAAUUCAUUUAAAUGGAGAAGUUAGUCAAAAAUUAGAUUGUUCAAAUCAUAAUAUGUAAUAAUUUGAAAGAAUUCACAUCAAUCUCCACCUCUUUUGAUGACGUUUCGAACAAAUCGGCCCAACAUUGUUCAACAUCGACCAACAACCACCGAAAAACCGAACAAAGUUUCGGUGUUGCAUUAGAUCUAGAUCCUGCAUUGAAAUCGGUCGAGGCGUAGAAGGUGGAACAUUUUUGAUAUUCCAAGACGACCACCCAAACACUUUAUGGCAUUAUAAUUUUUCAAAGCAUUCCAUGAGAAAAUAAAGUCGAAAAAAUGUUGAAAAAUUAAAAAAAUAUUCGAAAAUUGGUGUUAAUCAAAUAUUCAAUUAAAAAGUAUUGAAUUUUAAUAAAACUCGUUGGACUUUGUGUACAUUUUAUACUUAAACAGGUGAAUAUUGAUGAAAUAUUCAGAAGAAUAGUACCAUAUUUCAAACAAAAACUCUCCAAAUGUUUUACUGAAUAAACAAAAAAAUACUUUUUUCUUCAAA